rnacentral:rRNA from 1 species
CCUACGGGUGGCAGCAGUGAGGAAUAUUGGUCAAUGGGCGGGAGCCUGAACCAGCCAAGUCGCGUGAGGGAAGACGGUCCUAUGGAUUGUAAACCUCUUUAGGCUGGGAGCAAUGCCGGGCACGCGUGCCCGGAGGGAGAGUACCCGCAGAAUAAGAUUCGGCUAACUCCGUCCCAGCAGCCGCGGUAAUACGGAGGAUGGGAGCGUUAUCCGGUUUUUUUGGGUUUAAAGGGGGCGUAGGCGGAUUUUUAAGUCAGCGGUAAAAUUUCCGGCCUAAACCUGGGCCGGCCGUUGAAACUGGGGAUCUUGAGUGCGCGAGAAGUAUGUGGAAUGCGUGGUGUAGCGGUGAAAUGCAUAGAUAUCACGCAGAACUCCGAUUGCGAAGGCAGCAUACCGGCGCCCGACUGACGCUGAGGCACGAAAGCGUGGGGAUCGAACAGGAUUAGAUACCCCUGUAGUC